rnacentral:rRNA from 1 species
AGAGUUUGAUCCUGGCUCAGAUUGAACGCUGGCGGAAUGCUUUACACAUGCAAGUCGAGCGGCAGCGCGGGGCAACCUGGCGGCGAGCGGCGAACGGGUGAGUAAUGCAUCGGAACGUGUCCAUGUCGUGGGGGAUAGCCCGGCGAAAGCCGGAUUAAUACCGCAUACGCCCGAGAGGGGAAAGUGGGGGACCGCAAGGCCUCACGCGAUUGGAUCGGCCGAUGUCCGAUUAGCUAGUUGGCGGGGUAAAGGCCCACCAAGGCGAUGAUCGGUAGCUGGUCUGAGAGGAUGAUCAGCCACACUGGGACUGAGACACGGCCCAGACUCCUACGGGAGGCAGCAGUGGGGAAUUUUGGACAAUGGGGGCAACCCUGAUCCAGCCAUUCCGCGUGAGUGAAGAAGGCCUUCGGGUUGUAAAGCUCUUUUGUCCGGAACGAAACGGGUAGCGUGAAUAUCGCUGCCUACUGACGGUACCGGAAGAAUAAGCACCGGCUAACUACGUGCCAGCAGCCGCGGUAAUACGUAGGGUGCGAGCGUUAAUCGGAAUUACUGGGCGUAAAGCGUGCGCAGGCGGUUUUGUAAGCCAGAUGUGAAAUCCCCGGGCUUAACCUGGGAAUGGCAUUUGGGACUGCAAGGCUCGAGUGCGGCAGAGGAGACUGGAAUUCCUGGUGUAGCAGUGAAAUGCGUAGAUAUCAGGAGGAACACCGAUGGCGAAGGCAGGUCUCUGGGCUGACACUGACGCUCAUGCACGAAAGCGUGGGGAGCAAACAGGAUUAGAUACCCUGGUAGUCCACGCCCUAAACGAUGUCGACUGGUUGUUGGGGGUUUGACACUCUCAGUAACGAAGCUAACGCGUGAAGUCGACCGCCUGGGGAGUACGGCCGCAAGGUUAAAACUCAAAGGAAUUGACGG